CACGUAGGGGGCUAGCGUUGUCCGGAAUCAUUGGGCGUAAAGCGCGUGUAGGCGGUCCGGUAAGUCCGCUGUGAAAGUCGAGGGCUCAACCCUCGAAUGCCGGUGGAUACUGUCGGGCUUGAGUACGGGAGAGGCGAGUGGAAUUCCUGGUGUAGCGGUGAAAUGCGCAGAUAUCAGGAGGAACACCGAUUGCGAAGGCAGCUCGCUGGAACGUUACUGACGCUGAGACGCGAAAGCGUGGGGAGCAAACAGG
rnacentral:rRNA from 1 species